rnacentral:rRNA from 2 species
AGGUGCGAUCAUACCACCACUUAUGCAUCAGAUCUCAUCAGAACUCUGUAGUUAAGCGUGCUUGGGAGAGAGUAGUACUAGGAUGGGUGACCUUUUGGUGCACCUCUUUUUUUCUCCAG